rnacentral:rRNA from 1 species
AUACGUAGGGGGCGAGCGUUGUCCGGAAUGAUUGGGCGUAAAGGGCGCGUAGGCGGCGCGGUAAGUCUGGAGUGAAAGUCCUGCUUUCAAGAUGGGAAUUGCUUUGGAUACUGUCGGGCUUGAGUGCAGGAGAGGUAAGUGGAAUUCCCAGUGUAGCGGUGAAAUGCGUAGAGAUUGGGAGGAACACCAGUGGCGAAGGCGACUUACUGGACUGUAACUGACGCUGAGGCGCGAAAGUGUGGGGAGCAAACAGGAUUAGAUACCCUGGUAGUCCACACUGUAAACGAUGAAUGCUAGGUGUAGGGGGUAUCGACCCCUUCUGUGCCGCAGUCAACACAAUAAGCAUUCCGCCUGGGGAGUACGGCCGCAAGGUUGAAACUCAAAUGAAUUGACGGGG